UUUACUAGUAGUCUCUUUUUGCAUAAAAAACAGGCGUCGAGUUCAAUAAUGUCUAGUUCUCAAGCCCAAGGAUCAUGGACUACAAAGCAAAACAAGGCAUUUGAGAAGGCAUUGGCUGUGUAUGACAAAGACACUCCUGACCGUUGGUCCAACGUUGCCAAAGCCGUUGGAGGAGGCAAAACUGCUGCAGAAGUGAAACGACAUUAUGAAAUACUUGUCCAUGAUAUCAUGUUUAUUGAGAAUGGUGGUGUCCCUUUCCCUAACUACACUGGAGGUGGCACUACUAAUAAUUAGCGUCAACUAAGGAUGCAAAAUCUAUGGCUCCAGCAAGUAAUGAGACAAAGAGAUGCAGCCUUAUCUACGAUUACACAGCAUUUGCUUGCAAGAAAAUAACCAUAGCUAGUACCAGCUACAGGAAAAAAAAUCCAGAGCAUUUUCUAUUUAAAAAUCUAAGUGUAUAUUAAUUUCGUUUAUUCAAGUUAAUAAGUAGUAGUAUUUCUGCUGCUGUUAUGAAUUUCAUGCAUGUAUUAUCUGAAGGAAGCAUUUGAAUUCCUUCCACACUAUUUUGUAAUAUCCAUUUUCUCAUUCAAAAUAUGACAAAAGUGUAUUUAUUAA